UUAGAGUUGAUCUGGCUCAGAAUGAACGCUGGCGGAUGGAUUAGGCAUGCAAGCCGUACGAGAAUCCUCUCUUCGGAGAGGAGGACAGUGGCGAAAGGGUGAGUAACACGUGAGUAUCUACCUCCAGGUUGGGAACAGCCCGCGGAAACGCGGAUUAAUGCCCGAUGGUCCCUUCGGGGUAAAGAGGAAUCGCCCGGAGACGAGCUCGCGGCCCAUCAGCUUGUUGGCGGGGUAACGGCCCACCAAGGCGACGACGGGUAGGUGGUCUGAGAGGAUGGUCACCCACACUGGGACUGAGAUACUGCCCAGACUCCUACGGGAGGCUGCAGUCGAGAAUCAUCCGCAAUGGGCGAAAGCCUGACGGUGCAAUGCCGCGUGGGGGAUGAAGGCCUUCGGGUCGUAAACCCCUGUCAGAGGGGACGAAAAACAUGACGGUACCCUCAGAGGAAGCCACGGCUAACUACGUGCCAGCAGCCGCGGUAAUACGUAGGUGGCGAGCGUUAUUCGGAUUUACUGGGCGUAAAGGGUCCGCAGGGGGUUUGCCGAGUCCGAUGUGAAAGUCCGCAGCUCAACUGCGGAACUGCGUCGGAUACUGGUGAACUUGAGUGCGCGAAGGGCGAGCGGAAUUCCAGGUGUAGCGGUGGAAUGCGUAGAUAUCUGGAAGAACACCGGCGGCGAAAGCGGCCCGCUGGCGCGCCAUUGACCCUCAUGGACGAAAGCGUGGGGAGCGAACAGGAUUAGAUACCCUGGUAGUCCACGCUGUAAACGGUGCAGACUCGAUGCGGGGGGCGGUCCCCUCCGUGUCUAAGCCAACGC
rnacentral:rRNA from 1 species